rnacentral:rRNA from 1 species
UACGUAGGGGGGCAAGCGUUGUCCGGAUUUACUGGGCGUAAAGAGCGUGUAGGCGGCCACGCAGGUCCGUUGUGAAAACUGGAGGCUCAACCUCCAGCUGUCGACGGAAACCGUGUGGCUAGAGUCCGGAAGAGGAGAGUGGAAUUCCUGGUGUAGCGGUGAAAUGCGCAGAUAUCAGGAAGAACACCAAUGGCGAAGGCGGCUCUCUGGGACGGUACUGACGCUGAGACGCGAAAGCGUGGGGAGCGAACAGG